CUUGAGGUCUGUCCUGAUGGGGCUUUAUCUGUAAACCAACAUUGUUGGAAAUGCUUCAUAGAGUAACUGUGGUUUCCUUUACUCAUACAACUGUUAGGUCAGUGGGAAAGAAUUACAAGACAGAG